CGUAGGGUGCGAGCGUUAAUCGGAAUUACUGGGCGUAAAGCGUGCGCAGGCGGUUUGUUAAGAUAGGCGUGAAAUCCCCGGGCUCAACCUGGGAACUGCGCUUAUGACUGGCAAGCUAGAGUACGGCAGAGGGGGUGGAAUUCCACGUGUAGCAGUGAAAUGCGUAGAGAUGCGGAGGAACACCAAUGGCGAAGGCAGCCCCCUGGGUCGAUACUGACGCUCAUGCACGAAAGCGUGGGUAGCAAACAGGAUUAGAUACCCUGGUAGUCCACGCCCUAAACGAUGUCAACUAGGUGUUGGAUGGGUAAAACCAUUUAGUACCGGAGCUAACGCGUGAAGUUGACCGCCUGGGGAGUACGGCCGCAAGGUUA
rnacentral:rRNA from 1 species